rnacentral:tRNA from 1 species
GCCCCCGUAGCUCAGCGGAUAGAGCAGUAGUUUCCUAAACUAUGUGUCGGAUGUUCAAUUCAUCUCGGGGGUGCCA